rnacentral:rRNA from 1 species
AGAGUUUGAUCAUGGCUCAGAACGAACGCUGGCGGCGCGUCUUUAAACAUGCAAGUCGAACGAUCUGUAGCAAUACAGGGAGUGGCGGACGGGUGAGGAACACGUAGGAAUCUACCUAGAAGAGCGGGGACAACUUUGGGAAACCGGGGCUAAUACCGCAUAGUACAGAGAUGUUAAAGGGCUAGCAAUAGUCGCUUCUAGAUGAGCCUGCGGUCUAUCAGCUUGUUGGUGAGGUAAUGGCUCACCAAGGCAGCGACGGAUAGCCGGUCUGAGAGGAUGAUCGGCCACACUGGCACUGAGACACGGGCCAGACUCCUACGGGAGGCAGCAGUUAAGAAUCUUGCGCAAUGGGGGAAACCCUGACGCAGCGACGCCGCGUGAAGGAUGAAGGCUUCGGGUUGUAAACUUCGGUAGACUGGGAAGAAGAACUACGUUCGUUGAGGGCGUAGAGUGACGGUACCAGUCUGAAGCCCCGGCUAAUUACGUG